GGCUGCAGUCUCUACAUUAGCUCUCUUCCUCUUUCUGCUGAGUAAAGCAAAGCACCAGUCCUGUACAAGUUCCGUCCAGUCCAGCUAGGCCAAAGCCUACAAGUCUGCAGCCACAUCUAAUCUGGACCUGGAUCCGGUGCAUAAAAAGGCUAGAACGCUAUUUGUGGGAUUUACCGUAUUUGCAAAAUGAGGACAGCAAGCGUCACAUGAUCCCAGCCAAACAGAACUGACUUUCUAAUGGAUAUGACAAUUACCUCUGUUCACAACCUGCAAGGCAGUAGAAGACGACAAUGCUCUCUGAAGGCCAGUCCACCGAACCUACCGAUUUUGUCAGGAAUGGCUUGCUAUGGUAAAGAUAGUUCCCCUGGUGGUGCCCAAGCUCCAUUACACCCAUCUGAUGAAUAGACAAAAAUAUGAAGGACUGUAAAAAAUAAUUAGCUGGAGAUGAUUUUCUUGGUCCUUGUUAAGUACAGGUUCGCAUUCAACCCUUGUGCCGCUCCUGCAGCUUAAUACAAAAACAAAAUCAUAGACGCUCAGGACAUCACAGCCAAUAUGACUCGCUGAUCCUGACCAUGCGGCCUGCACGGCC